UCUUGAGAGCGGCGGACGGGUGAGUAAUGCCUAGGAAUCUGCCUGGUAGUGGGGGAUAACGUCCGGAAACGGACGCUAAUACCGCAUACGUCCUACGGGAGAAAGCAGGGGACCUUCGGGCCUUGCGCUAUCAGAUGAGCCUAGGUCGGAUUAGCUAGUUGGUGAGGUAAUGGCUCACCAAGGCGACGAUCCGUAACUGGUCUGAGAGGAUGAUCAGUCACACUGGAACUGAGACACGGUCCAGACUCCUACGGGAGGCAGCAGUGGGGAAUAUUGGACAAUGGGCGAAAGCCUGAUCCAGCCAUGCCGCGUGUGUGAAGAAGGUCUUCGGAUUGUAAAGCACUUUAAGUUGGGAGGAAGGGUACUUACCUAAUACGUGAGUAUUUUGACGUUACCGACAGAAUAAGCACCGGCUAACUCUGUGCCAGCAGCCGCGGUAAUACAGAGGGUGCAAGCGUUAAUCGGAAUUACUGGGCGUAAAGCGCGCGUAGGUGGUUCGUUAAGUUGGAUGUGAAAUCCCCGGGCUCAACCUGGGAACUGCAUCCAAAACUGGCGAGCUAGAGUAUGGUAGAGGGUGGUGGAAUUUCCUGUGUAGCGGUGAAAUGCGUAGAUAUAGGAAGGAACACCAGUGGCGAAGGCGACCACCUGGACUGAUACUGACACUGAGGUGCGAAAGCGUGGGGAGCAAACAGGAUUAGAUACCCUGGUAGUCCAC
rnacentral:rRNA from 1 species